rnacentral:rRNA from 1 species
GACGAACGCUGGCGGCGUGCUUAACACAUGCAAGUCGAACGGUGAAGCGAGUGCUUGCACUCGUGGAUCAGUGGCGAACGGGUGAGUAACACGUGAGUAACCUGCCCAUCACUCUGGGAUAAGCACUGGAAACGGUGUCUAAUACUGGAUACGACCAACCCUUGCAUGGGGUGUUGGUGGAAAGAUUUAUCGGUGAUGGAUGGACUCGCGGCCUAUCAGCUUGUUGGCGGGGUAAUGGCCCACCAAGGCGACGACGGGUAGCCGGCCUGAGAGGGUGACCGGCCACACUGGGACUGAGACACGGCCCAGACUCCUACGGGAGGCAGCAGUGGGGAAUAUUGCGCAAUGGGCGAAAGCCUGAUGCAGCGACGCCGCGUGAGGGAUGACGGCCUUCGGGUUGUAAACCUCUUUCAGCAGGGAAGAAGCGAAAGUGACGGUACCUGCAGAAGAAGCACCGGCUAACUACGUG